GAAGUAGGGUGCAAGCGUUGUCCGGAAUUAUUGGGCGUAAAGCGUUCGUAGGCGGUCUGUUAAGUCUGAUGUUAAAGACAGGGGCUCAACCCCUGCAUGGCAUUGGAAACUGGCAGGCUAGAGUAUGGUAGAGGCAAGGGGAAUUCCCGGUGUAACGGUGAAAUGUAUAGAUAUCGGGAGGAACACCAGUGGCGAAAGCGCCUUGCUGGGCCAUUACUGACGCUGAGGAACGAAAGCCAGGGUAGCGAAAGGG
rnacentral:rRNA from 1 species